rnacentral:rRNA from 1 species
CCAAUAGCGUAUAUUAAAGUUGUUGCAGUUAAAAAGCUCGUAGUUGAAUUUCGGGAUUGACGUGACGGUCAUGCCUUAAGGGGUAUGAACUGUUACUGUCGAUUUCUCACCUUCUGGAGAAACUUGAUGUCCUUUAUUGGGUGUCUUGCGGAUCCAGGACCUUUACCUUGAAAAAAUUAGAGUGUUUAAAGCAGGCAUUUUUGCUCGAAUACAUUAGCAUGGAAUAAUAGAAUAGGACGGCAUGGUUCUAUUUUGUUGGUUUCUAGGAUCACCGUAAUGAUUAAUAGGGAUAGUUGGGGGCAUUAGUAUUCAAUUGUCAGAGGUGAAAUUCUUGGAUUUAUUGAAGACUAACUACUGCGAAAGCAUUUGCCAAGGAUGUUUUCAUUAAUCAAGAACGAAAGUUAGGGGAUCGAAGACGAUCAGAUACCGUCGUAGUCUUAACCAUAAACUAUGCCGACUAGGAAUCAGACGAUGUUAAUUUUUUAAUGACUCGUUUGGCACCUUACG